ensembl:lncRNA
UCUGGUCUUUAGUUUAUGAUCCUUCUUGAUUUUACUUUAGCUUCUCUUUCCCAGGAGGUUCUGCCAUCUUUCUCCUCAUGCUGCUUCCUGGCACUCUGACUACCAUAUGUUAGCCCUUACUGAAUAAAAGGGAGGUGGUGUCUGGUGCCCAUAAAAUCAACUUCUUUGGCCCAACAGGGACAGAGCUUUUUUUGCUGUUCCGGAAGCUUCCCAGUAAGGGGAGUCAUUUUUCACAGCUGUUUUGGCUUGCUCCCUGAUAAAAGAGUUGUGGCUAUCCCUGAAGCAGAAUCCUUAAAGUCUGACCACAUUGAGGGAUGCAUUUUCCUUUCCUUGAGAAGUAAAUGCCUGGUCCAAGCAGCGGUUAGAGUCAGCUACCCUGGUUCCAGACAGUUUUUGGAGUGUACCCCCUCCCCCACACAGUCUUUUACAGAGCAGGUGGAGGACCUUCUAGGAUUCCUGAUUGGGUUCCAGUUGUUUGUAGACCUAGGAAUUUUCCACAACCUUGGACAAGAAAAGGUCAGCUAUUCCCAGGCAUGGCACGUUGUAGGGAGCAGCUCGAAGGGAAAGCAUCAGAAGAUAAUGUCACAGCCUAGAGGAAGCUCAUAUUUUCUGACAGCUCCAAUUUCUCCUGCCAUCUGUGUCUCGAAGCUUCACCAAAAUGAGGGCAUAUCAGCAAUUUUGUUUGAUCGACUAAAGCAAACCAAACUCAAGGAAUAUUUUGCGUGAUGGCAUAUUUAGCAUGAAUGUGUAUAAAUUCGAGGGCUCAUUUAAAUGUAAGAUGUUUUUAACCCCUCUGGGGAUUGGUUUCAAAAACUGUGUAUAUGCAUAUACACAUCUUUAUACCUCAGUCCAGACCCAGAUUUGGCUCUUGGCAUCCAUAUUUUAUUAAACCUAUAAAUUGUGGUUUAAUAGUUUGGUCAAGUUUAAUGCCAGUAUUAAUUUUAGACUCCAGCCUUUAAAUCUGUACAUCUGUACAUCUUGACUUGGUUCAUUAUUAAUAUGGUAAAGGGAGCUAAUUUUAAAAUGUUCCUUUUUGUCCAUAAGAAAUGGGUCCUUUUCAUCUUAAGAAAGGGGAAUACAGAAAAUAGGAGGUUGAAAGGCCAGUGUAACCACAGAUAAUAAUGAGCAUGAUAAAUAGCAAUAACUCAUGUUUAUAGAGUACUUUAUCAUUGCACAGUGUUACAGAUGUCUUAUAUGGGAUUUGAUCUUUACAACAUUCAGUGAGAUUAAGUAAACAUGAUUAUUCCUAUUUUACAGAUGAGAGAAAUGGAGGUUUAGGAUAGUAGGUGCCAUGAUUUAUAAUAAUAACUCACGCAUUAGGCAAAUUAAUGUUAAUGAUUUAUUUUCACUCAAUUAAAUAUUUAUUAAACAUCUAUAAUAUACCAUCAUUGUUCUAAGUUCUGGGAAUCAGAGAUAAAAAAGUACCUGAUCUCAAAAAAUGUGCUUUCUUUAAAAAAAAUUUAAACUUAUUUUCCAUAAGAUGGAUGUUUAACAAAAUGAACACAGACAAUGAUGAUUCAUAGUAAGGGAUUGAAGGAAGUCACAGAAAUAUCUAGUAAUAUUUGAGGAGGGAGAAAGUAGCAAGUGUUUUCCUCAUAGAAAGCUUGUGACCUAAAUAGCACAAACAUUAUUUCCAUUGUUUUGCAGAAAGGAGGCAGCUAGGUUGCACAGUGGAUAGAUUGUGGGUUCUAGAGUCAGGAAGACUCAUUUUCAUGAAUUCAUAUCAGGUCCCAGACAUCUAUUAGCUAUGUGACUCUGGGCAAAUUGCUUGACCCUGUUUGCCUCAGUUUCCUUCUCUGUAAAAUGAGAUACAGAAGGUAAUAACAAACUAUUUCAAUAUCUUGACCAAGAAAACCCCAAAUGGAGUGAUGAAGAGUUAGGAACAACUGAAUGACAGCAAUAGAUAAGGAAACAAAAUCAGAGAUGUAAGAAGGAGGAAACAAAGACUGGAUUUUUGAGUCAGAGAAUUUUGGUUCAAAUCCCACAUGGAUCUGUUUGAUUCUGUAUAUGUAUCCUUGGUGGUUGGCAUAUAUAAUAAAUAUGUAGCCUAAUAAGUGCUUGUUGAGUAG